rnacentral:rRNA from 1 species
UACGUAGGGUGCGAGCGUUAAUCGGAAUUACUGGGCGUAAAGCGUGCGCAGGCGGUCUGUUAAGACAGAUGUGAAAUCCCCGGGCUUAACCUGGGAACUGCAUUUGUGACUGGCAGGCUAGAGUAUGGCAGAGGGGGGUAGAAUUCCACGUGUAGCAGUGAAAUGCGUAGAGAUGUGGAGGAAUACCGAUGGCGAAGGCAGCCCCCUGGGCCAAUACUGACGCUCAUGCACGAAGGCGUGGGGAGCAAACAGG